AAGGAACUAAAUGGAAAACUACGGCUUCCAACUAUAAAGAUAAAGGUGUAUUUUAUGACUCUGAUAGAGAUCUACCCCGUUUAAAGACUAAAUCUCCUUUUAAGAUAAGUACCACAUCUAAUCAAGAGGAAGAUUCCGACAACAAUCUUCCAAUGGAAGAGUCCAGACCUUGUAACAAAGAGAUAUGCAACUUGAAAGGGGAUUGUGUUGUUGAGAAUGGUGAAGUCAAAUGUCAGUGCAUGCUUGGAUACAGUGGAGUAUUCUGUGAGAAGGGACUACAACCUUUAGCUGUUCCAUUGACUCUUGCUACAAUUGGAGUUCUGCUUAUAGUUGUGACAGCUGCAGGAGUGUUCGUGUAUGUAACUAGAAGAAAAGCAUUACAGCGGACAUCUAGCUCAGCAUCCUCUAGGACUCUAACCAGACAAACUGCUAAAGAUAUGGAUCAAGAAGCAGAAAAUCUUGCAUCGACAGAAACAUUUGUGAACGAUGCCUUUGAUUCAGAAGGUUGUGAUACUGAAGUAAGCAGAUUUGAAAUGUUUACUAAGAAAAUAUACCGAGAACACACUCCAUAAACUGAAUAUUCGAUUUAUGAAACUCAUUCAGGCCAGGGCCAUGUUUGAGAUGUGCCAAAGAUGCAAGGAGUUGAAAAUUCCUUCAGUCUCACUGAAUCCUGCAGACCGAGAAAUGUAUAAGAAAAAAAAUGAAUUUUUAUUAAAGCUUCCUAACUUGUAAACAAUAACUUAUUUGUCAUACAAAGAAGCGGAUGACGUAUGGAUUUUUUUUAAAUCCAUACUAAAUGCAAUGUGAUAUUUCAAAUUCAUGUUUACAAUUCUUUACAAAUAAACCUAAUGGAAGGA